GACGAACUGCCCAAACGUUGUUCGGAAUCACUGGGCUUAAAGGGCGCGUAGGCGGCAGAUCAAGUCAGGGGUGAAAUCCGGCAGCUCAACUGUCGAAGUGCCUUUGAUACUGAUUUGCUCGAGGGAUAUAGGGGUCUGUGGAACUUCUGGUGGAGCGGUGAAAUGCGUUGAUAUCAGAAGGAACGCCGGUGGCGAAAGCGACGGACUGGAUAUCUUCUGACGCUGAGGCGCGAAAGCUAGGGGGAGCAAACGGG
rnacentral:rRNA from 1 species